CCAAGAUGUAGUAGAUGGAAUCUGCAAGCA
rnacentral:piRNA from 1 species